UACGUAGGGUGCGAGCGUUUGUCCGGAAUUAUUGGGCGUAAAGAGCUUGUAGGCGGUUUGUCGCGUCUGCUGUGAAAAUCCGGGGCUCAACCCCGGACUUGCAGUGGGUACGGGCAGACUAGAGUGUGGUAGGGGAGACUGGAAUUCCUGGUGUAGCGGUGAAAUGCGCAGAUAUCAGGAGGAACACCGAUGGCGAAGGCGGGUCUCUGGGCCGAUACUGAC
rnacentral:rRNA from 1 species